rnacentral:rRNA from 1 species
AUUGAACGCUGGCGGCAGGCCUAACACAUGCAAGUCGAGCGGAUGAAGGGAGCUUGCUCCUGGAUUCAGCGGCGGACGGGUGAGUAAUGCCUAGGAAUCUGCCUGGUAGUGGGGGAUAACGUCCGGAAACGGGCGCUAAUACCGCAUACGUCCUGAGGGAGAAAGUGGGGGAUCUUCGGACCUCACGUUAUCAGAUGAGCCUAGGUCGGAUUAGCUAGUUGGUGGGGUAAAGGCCUACCAAGGCGACGAUCCGUAACUGGUCUGAGAGGAUGAUCAGUCACACUGGAACUGAGACACGGUCCAGACUCCUACGGGAGGCAGCAGUGGGGAAUAUUGGACAAUGGGCGAAAGCCUGAUCCAGCCAUGCCGCGUGUGUGAAGAAGGUCUUCGGAUUGUAAAGCACUUUAAGUUGGGAGGAAGGGCAGUAAGUUAAUACCUUGCUAUUUUGACGUUACCAACAGAAUAAGCACCGGCUAACUUCGUG